UUGUAGCCUGCUAUGGUAUAACUUAGUGGCAGACGGGUGAGUAAUGUAUAGGAAUCUACCUAGUAGUACGGAAUAAUUGUUGGAAACGGCAACUAAUACCGUAUACGCCCUACGGGGGAAAAAUUUAUUGCUAUUAGAUGAGCCUAUAUUAGAUUAGCUAGUUGGUGGAGUAAUAGCCUACCAAGGCAAUGAUCUAUAGCUGAUCUGAGAGGAUGAUCAGCCACACUGGAACUGAGAUACGGUCCAGACUCCUACGGGAGGCAGCAGUGGGGAAUAUUGGACAAUGGGCGAAAGCCUGAUCAGCCAUGCCGCAUGAGUGAAGAAGGCCUUUGGGUUGUAAAGCUCUUUUAGUGAGGAAGAUAAUGACGGUACUCACAGAAGAAGUCCUGGCUAACUCCGUGCCAGCAGCCGCGGUAAUACGGAGAGGGCUAGCGUUAUUCGGAAUUAUUGGGCGUAAAGGGCGCGUAGGCGGAUUAGUAAGUUAAAAGUGAAAUCCCAAGGCUCAACCUUGGAAUUGCUUUUAAAACUGCUAAUCUAGAGAUUGAAAGAGGAUAGAGGAAUUCCUAGUGUAGAGGUGAAAUUCGUAAAUAUUAGGAGGAACACCAGUGGCGAAGGCGUCUAUCUGGUUCAAAUCUGACGCUGAGGCGCGAAGGCGUGGGGAGCAAACAGGAUUAGAUACCCUGGUAGUCCACGCUGUAAACGAUGAAUGUUAAAUAUGGGAAGUUUUACUUUCUGUAUUACAGCUAACGCGUUAAACAUUCCGCCUGGGGACUACGGUCGCAAGAUUAAAACUCAAAGGAAUUGACGGGGACCCGCACAAGCGGUGGAGCAUGUGGUUUAAUUCGAUGCAACGCGAAAAACCUUCCACUCCUUGACAUG
rnacentral:rRNA from 1 species